GGAUGAUUGGUUUAUAGCAAUCCGUCAAAGAAAAUUCUUUGUGUCACUUUUCGGUUAUCAACAACAAAAUCAACAAGGUUCUAACACUGACUUAUUAAUUGCUCAUUGAUGAUGAUUUUUCUACAGCAACAUCUGACACAAAAUCAACAAUUCUCAUUAAUAGCCUUCGAGGUUGUAGAUUCAGUGUUAGAUGCCCAUAUAGAAAAAUUUAUCGUCGGUGAGAAUUUGAUUAGUCAGCAACAAAACCUUAUUGAUGAUGUUGUUGAACAUGGAGACAUCUCAAAUAGGUAAAUUGGUGUUGGAAGACAGCGAAAAAAUUGACACUUCACCCAGAUUCAAUCAUCACGUCAACUUACCAUUUUUUUAUUAAAAUGAACUUGGAUGGAUGUCUACUUUCUUGAUAAAACCUUUUUCCAUAUCCGAGAUAGUGAAAUAGAAUAUUUAAAACUUUUGAAUAAGUAAGAUGGAUGGAUCUAAAAACACUUUCGACCAAAUUGAAACAUUCUUGAAUUGAUGGAAGGAAUGUUUCUAACGGGUGCAUUGGUACUUCCACACACCAUAUUUCACACAAUGUUGGCUUUUUAUUACUUUUCAUGUCUAUCUCUUAAAAAUGGGCGCCCACACACAUUUCUUUUCUUUUCUUCUAUUAUUAUUUUUUUUUCUACUAAGUUGAAGCACGGCUGAGGAGGUGGUUUCGACAUGCUCGCUUAUUUGUCAUUAAACUCAUACUGAAGGGCAAUUUUGACUUUUUGUGAUAUCUGCCAUGUGUCUUCACAUCCAAACCUCAACAGCCAGCACAUCAGUUGUUUCAGGACAUAUGUCAAUAACUUUUCUGAAUGGAAGGCUACGAACUGUACUGAUAAUCCCAAGAUAUGGCUUUCUUAAGCAAGUUCUUGGUUUCAUAUUAGAUCUGGGGUUCACAAUUAUGCAUUGAAGAAACAAUCGGUGUUAAUUUAUGCAUGUACUGAUAUAACUAGAGUUUUCCUGUUUGUGUGGUGGUUGGUUGAUCUAAAAAGAUUGCAUUAAUAUGAGGUUCUUGCUAUAAUGGAAAUUUGUCUGAUCAACAAGAUUAAGGUUGACAACAGAUUUCAUAUUGGGUAUAACAAAAGUGGUGAAACCUGAAGGUGAUGAUGGAUAAAGCUUACAAAGAGCAUGGUGAACAGAAUGAAUAUUGUGGAAAAAAUGCAUAGGUUAGAAUUUCGGGAGAGAGGUGGGGACAAGAAUGAAUGCCAGUACAGAUGGGUGCAACAAUGAAUGCUACAUAAGGAGAGGAGAUAUUGUUUAUAGUUGAUGCAUCUGAUUAUUCCUACAUUAGCAUAGUAGAGAGUUGAGAUUGGUUUAACUAUCUGCAUAAUUACUUAAUGUAAUCUCCUUUAUAUGUGCAAAUGGAAGUUGAGAGUUUUUAAUGUUAAGGGUGCUUGUUAUUGGCCCUAUUAGAAGCUAAUCAACUGAUGAGAAAGUAGAUUUACUGGAGGUAUGCCAUAGCGCAAUUGGUUUCCCGUUUAUGUUUUUGUUUUCUACUUAAAAAAGGAGAUCAUGUUUGUUUGGA